UAUACGGAAUUUAGCAUUGAUUGUAUCAAUGAUCAUGAAUUGAUCUCGUUCAUUUUGAUUUCAUCAUGAUUUGAUUGUUGUAGCUAGUAGAGAAUAGAUCUAUUUCAACUUUCAAGAUGGAAAGCUUGGAAAGACUAUAUUAGUAGUCCAUGACACUGACAAGUGACACUGUACCGCACUGCACUAAUCUCAGUGAUUUGAUAAUUAUGUAAGCAAUUGUUUUAAUCUAAAGUUGUCUAUGCAUGCAUUAUAUUUGUUUUUUGUGAAUUACG